GUCCUCCGCCGGCUGCAAAACAAACGCCAUUGUUAUUGGAGGCAGGGUUGUUAAGCAACCAGUAUGUGAGCCGUACAUUGGAUGUGAACGACGAUUAUGCAAAUAAGAAACGCUGUCAGGUGUCGAAAGGCACUGUAAUGGCAUCCCUGUGGCAGCUAGAGUUUUCAGCAAGUCAGGUGAAACCAAAACAACAAAAAACACAUGCUACAUCUCCUCACUUCAUCCAAAACAGCAGCAUGGAGAGAGGCAGCAGGACGCUGACUCUUCAUCAUUCUGGUAUCUUCCAGACUCAGGCUGGUCCCUGCACUCUGCUAUGAAGGCCUGAAGCUGGGACACUGGCACCUUUUCUCGCUGGUGAUGCUGGAGGAACCAUUGUACAGUCAAAAAUCACAACCAGCUUACAAACUGAAGUUGGACGCCAUUGAUGACAGAUCGUGUGCAGAGGAUGAGAGAGGUGAAACAGGCAAGGAUGACCACUGAGUCAAACCACAAGAGGAGAUAAUCGUUCUUCCCAGCUGGAAAUGAGAGCCACACAUCGAAGAAACAGAUGUCUGAAGGUCAUCAGAUUUUCAUCUUUGAAGGUGACCAUCAUUUCGUUGCUCAGGCCAAAAGACACUAACUGCUCGGAAAAGAGGAAAAUAGUGUGGGUUCAUGAAGAAGUACUUGAGCCUUCGUCUGAAGUCGUCCACCACCUUUGACUCCAGACUGCGAGUGCUCCAUCUGUGGUGGCUAUUUUGCCCCCUCUCCUCUGAUCUCACUAAAGGUUGAGAGUCCUCCAUUAUA